UUUCUUAACUCACAGUGUUUCCCAGCCGCCUGGCUCCCAUCCGGCCCCAGCAGCGCUCUGGUGGGCACCAGGGCGCCGAUCCACGGCGAUGCCCAGGUCUGUGCUCCUUGGUGAGCCCAGGGAGGACACGUGGUUGGCAUCCCACAGCCAGUCCGUGAUGGGACGUGAUUGCAGGAGGCUGGUAUCUCUG